GAAAAGAUUUUUUCCCCCGUAUUUAAAUAGGUGAUUAAAAUUUAUUUAAUGAUUUUAAAUAUCUCGGAAAUAAGGGAGCUAAAUUUAUAUUAUUUUUUUUGUAGCAAUAAAAUUAUAAAUAUAGAUUUAGAAAUUAAAUGUUAAACGAACUUAUUAAUAUCUAGUUUUUUUAGAAAUAAAUUUAAUUUAGAUAUAAUUAUUUUAGUAAAUUAAAUUUUAUUUUAAUUUAUUAAUUUUUAUAUUAAAAAUUUAUGGGAUAAUCUAUAAAUUUAAGAUAAAAAUUUAAUUUUAAUUUUUAAUGUUAUAGAGAUAAUAUUUUUCUUUAAUUUUAAUAAUUUAAUAAUUUAAUAUUUAUAAAUUAAUAAUGAUUUAAAUUUAUAUUUUAUUUUUCUAUAAAAAUUUAUAUUUUAAUUAAUAAAAUAUAGAAAUAAUGAUUAGAUUAGUAAUAAAGUUAUAUUUUAUAAUGAUAUUUUGUAUUAUAUAAUUUAAAGGAAUUCGGCAAAUAUAUUAUUCACCUGUUUAUCAAAAACAUGUCCUGUUGAUUAUAAUUUUAGGUCGAUCUGCUCAAUGAAUUAUUUUAAAUAGCUGCAGUAUGUUGACUGUACAAAGGUAGCAUAAUAAAUUGUCUUUUAAUUGAAGAAUUGUAUGAAAGAAUUAAUGAAAUAAUAACUGUCUCUAAAUUAUUAAAUGAAUUUAAAUUUUUAGUUAAAAUUCUAAAAUUUAAUUAUGGGACGAUAAGACCCUAUAGAAUUUAAUUUAAUUUUUAAAUUUAUUUAUAAUUUUAAUAAAUAUAUUUAAGAUUAAAUUUGAUUGGGAGGAUUGGUAAAUUUAAUAAACUUUAUUUAAGAUUUAAUUUUGAUAUAAAGAUAAUUUUUUGAAUUAUAAAUUGUAAUUAAAAGAAUAAAUUACCUUAGGGAUAACAGCGUAAUAUCUUUUGAUAGACCAUAUAGAUAAAGAUGUUGCCACCCCCCCCAAGUGUGGAAAAUCCCCCACC
rnacentral:rRNA from 1 species